GGGAUUACAGGUGUGAGCUACCAUGCCUGGCCAGCAAAUGGCUUAGUUUUCCAUUAUCUGCCAUUUCCAGUAGAGAUCUUUCUCCUUCAGGGCAAAGAGUGAAAGAAAGUUAAUCGUUCCUACCAGAGGUGUUGAAGAAUCAGAGAGCUAAGGUAUGUAGUUUUGACGACAAAGCAUCAUGAAGGCUUCACAAACUGGCCGAGUCCUGUGUCUUGGAACUGGAACUCCAAAGACGUGGGGCCUCAUCGGGAUUUGGUUGGUGAAUUGGGAACAGCUCUCCGGAAGAGGAACAUCCGCUAUGGACUAUACCACUCACUCUUAGAGUGGUUCCAUCCACUCUAUCUACUUGAUAAGAAAAAUGGCUUCAAAACACAGCAUUUUGUCAGUGCAAAAACAAUGCCAGAGCUGUACGACCUUGUUAACAGCUAUAAACCUGAUCUGAUCUGGUCUGAUGGGGAGUGGGAAUGUCCUGAUACUUACUGGAACUCCACAAAUUUUCUUUCAUGGCUCUACAAUGACAGCCCUGUCAAGGUA
rnacentral:lncRNA from 1 species